rnacentral:ncRNA from 1 species
GCGUGGGUUGGCCCGCUGUACUGGAUCCAGUGGGCUGGGGGAAGCCGUCGCCCCAUUCCCCGCGGGCGGCGGACCGGCCCGGGGGGUGCGGCUCGUGCCUCCCGGGCUGCG